rfam:Camelus ferus unplaced genomic scaffold scaffold712, whole genome shotgun sequence.
GAGGGUGUAGCUCAGUGGUAGAGUAUGUGUUUAGCAUACACGAGGUCCUGGGUUCAAUCCCCAGUAUCGCCA